GACGUAGGGCGCGAGCGUUGUCCGGAUUUAUUGGGCGUAAAGAGCUCGUAGGCGGCUUGUCGCGUCGACUGUGAAAACCCGCGGCUCAACCGCGGGCCUGCAGCCGAUACGGGCAGGCUAGAGUUCGGUAGGGGAGACUGGAAUUCCUGGUGUAGCGGUGAAAUGCGCAGAUAUCAGGAGGAACACCAGUGGCGAAGGCGGCUUGCUGGGCCGGACCUGACGCUGAGGCGCGAAGGCGUGGGGAGCGAACGGG
rnacentral:rRNA from 1 species